rnacentral:rRNA from 1 species
UGGGGAAUAUUGCACAAUGGGCGCAAGCCUGAUGCAGCCAUGCCGCGUGUAUGAAGAAGGUCUUCGGGUUGUAAAGUACUUUCAGUCGGGAGGAAGGUGGUAAGGUUAAUAACCUUAUCAAUUGACGUGACCGACAGAAGAAGCACCGGCUAACUCCGUGCCAGCAGCCGCGGUAAUACGGAGGGUGCAAGCGUUAAUCGGAAUUACUGGGCGUAAAGCGCACGCAGGCGGUUGAUUGAGUCAGAUGUGAAAUCCCCGGGCUUAACCCGGGAACUGCAUUCGAAACUGGCAGGCUGGAGUCUUGUAGAGGGGGGUAGAAUUCCAGGUGUAGCGGUGAAAUGCGUAGAGAUCUGGAGGAAUACCGGUGGCGAAGGCGGCCCCCUGGACAAAGACUGACGCUCAGGUGCGAAAGCGUGGGGAGCAAACAGG